rnacentral:misc_RNA from 1 species
AACGCACGAGACCUGCGGACCUGCGGAAGGAUCAUUAGUGAACGCCCUCACGGGCUUAUAACUAUUCCAAACCUCUGUGAACCGUGCCCUUCGGGGCUAUUUUACAAACAUGGUGUAAUGAACGUCAUAUAUCAUAGCAAAACAAAACUUUCAACAACGGAUCUCU